GCCGCGCCUAUCUGACGGCUGAUCCCCGAGAGAGAAAACCGGGAAACCUUGCCCGGCUGGCGCGGCAUUCUGAACCAAGGG
ncrna:unclassified sequences int-alpA RNA